UAACUAUCCUUGUUACUUCCUCAAAGUCGUUGCACCUCCAGUGGUCUUUGUACUUCUAAACCUUUCGCCGGUCUUGGAUUUUAGGUAUUAGGACUUGGGUCUUUCCUCUUCUUCACAGUGCGAUGACUAUCAACUCCCCGUCAAUACGUCAAAGACUUGGGUCUUAGAACGAAGAUCACCUCACUUCACUUCACCUCACUGCAAAAGUUAGAACACAAUAUCCACAAACAAAUAUAUCCUUGUUUUAAAAAAGUUUUGGUUCCGCAAGUUUUAGUCCAAUUUAACCACGUUGAAAUUAGUCGAUUAUAACGUUUUAGUAUGGUGGUUAAGUCGUUGGUUCAAUUUUAACAAAUUAUAUCGCGCGGAGAAAUAUAAGUUGUUGAUUUUAAUAAGAUCGAGUGAUGAGUGAGUUUUGAAAAGAGGGAGUCGAAGUCGAGCAAGAUAUAUCACACACACUCACACGAACGGAAUUGAACCAAGUAGCUUGUUCGGAUAACACCCCGCGAUAGCGAGAAGGCCCAAACGGGGUUUACCACCGAAACAAGUAAAAUCACACCCGACACACACGUUCGGAAAAUAAACACGUAAUACCACGUAUCUUAUCUCAAUGAUAUCCCCACCGAGCACAGGGCUGAAAAAUGGGUUUCUCACUAAAACAAGAAGGGUAUGGGAGUGAUGGGAAUGGGAGCACAAAUAUGAGUUAGUGAGCAAAUAAAGUUAGUGCACAAAUUCCCGAUAAUAACGAGUGGCCAACUCGAGUAUUUUGAAAUCAAGAGAGCUUAAGAUGAAGAGAAAUUUGUUUAAAAAGCCCUUUGAAAAUGGUCGAUUAAGACUCGGAUAAUUGAAGCUAAAAGAAACCACUUACACGAUUAAUGCACGAAAGUUCGCCGGAGAAAUUCGUCGGAGGUUCGAUACGACUUUAAGCACACGAACGAAUUUGGGCAGCCCUUCGGGAGGUAGAAAAGAGUGGUUUAUGAAAAUGGUAAGAUGAGCGAUGCUUGGUUGGGUAGAACGAAGCUUCGGGGUUUAAAACCUUGUAUAUAUCGGAAUAUAUGAAGAAUCGAAGGUUUUAAAGAUGAAGUAGAAGAAGU
rnacentral:lncRNA from 1 species